UACGUAGGGGGCAAGCGUUGUCCGGAAUCAUUGGGCGUAAAGCGCGUGUAGGCGGCUCGAUAAGUCCGCUCUGAAAGCCCGGGGCUCAACCCCGGGAGGCGGGUGGAUACUGUCGAGCUCGAGUCCGGAAGAGGAGUGUGGAAUUCCUGGUGUAGCGGUGAAAUGCGCAGAUAUCAGGAGGAACACCAAUGGCGAAGGCAGCACUCUGGGACGUGACUGACGCUGAGACGCGAAAGCGUGGGGAGCAAACAGG
rnacentral:rRNA from 1 species